GCCUCCAGUGAAUAUCGAUGCAGAGCUUUACAAAAACCCUAACAACCAAACCCUAUCAUUUUCGUAAGUUCGAAUCCAAAAACUCUCACCUUUCCAUCGCGAGAACCAAAUCCACUGAAACUCCAAUCAAAGCGAAACUGGAAGAACUGAUUUACCUAGAAGUUGUUUCUCAUCUCCUGCAAAUCAAACAAACAAACGACCUUAAGAUUCAUAAGAGAAGCCCAAACUUGAACAACUAAACAGGAAGAAUAGAUGAUACCCUAACUUCUAUAUUCAAUUGGGUUCCUAUUCUUCCUUCACGAAGUCAAUUUUCAUCCGUGUUGUUGAUUCAGGUCUAGUACUUCCUCAAUUCUUUUAAAGAUUUGGUUUUUCUUCGUGUUUAAGAAAGAGAAUUGAAUUUUAAUUGAAUUUCCAUUUAGUAUUUUUUUUUGUUCGAAUUUCAUUGAAGAGAAAUGGAGAAAAGGUUUUGAAGUAGUUUUUAAUCAAUACUCUGAUUCCUCUUUAUCAUCACUUCCUAGAUAAACCUCGAGAUUUUGGUACUAAUUUCUUACAUUUUCUGUUCAAUUCGUAUCUUUCACACCUCUUUGAUAUAUAAUUAUAGUGAAGGGAAGUUGUAUUUUUGGAUAUCUAUGUUCUGGUGCAAGUCAUUAGAACUGAGUUUUAGCUUAAACUAAUAAAAGUGACACAAGUUCAGGAAUCCUUGUUAUGUACUCAGUAAUGAAAGAUAUGAAAGAUUUAUGACACUAGUUGAAAAUGAGGUAUGGGAGUUGUGUCCGUCCAAAAUGUUGUAAUUUCCUGACUAAUUCACAUAUAUUGUUGUCUUAGCUUCUAUUGCUAUGAGGUUAUUUGCCCGGUCAUCAAUUUGAUGUUGGUGGAUCUUAUUUCCGAGCUACGUUCUGUAUUAUGAGACCUAAUUAUCUUAGUUUUUUGUAGGAUUCUGUAGGUUGGUAAAUGAUGGCACAUUCUUUUUAAACAGCGUAACAAUAUUAGCCAUCAAAAUCAGUUGAUGUGCUUACCAUGAUUGUUAGUUAGUUUUGCCCGUCAACUGUAGUUGUUAGGUGCCUACUGACUAGCAUAUUUCAUUUCGAGAGAGUUUUUUGUUGGGUGAACUAGGACCUACCGUAUGGCAUUUGACAUUAGCAUCUUCUAAGGUUAACUAUUCAUUUGAGGAAACUCUAAACUUGAUUAAUCCUAUAGCGUGUGAAUGCCAGUGGUCAAAUGGGUUGGUUCUUGCGUGUCCAUUCAAAAAGCUCUUCUGGAAAUAUUUUCUUUUGGAGCUAUAACGAAGUUCUGAAUAUAUGUCGGCCUUGUGCCCACUAGCCGUUGAAGAAUGACCUUGUGCACCAUUGUCGGUUGAUACUUUUCAUGGACAACAAGGGUACUUCUGGGGUUCCGAAACCAUCCCCGAUCACAACAUUAGAUGCUCAACAGGCUGAAGCUAAAUGCUCUUCUUGCAAGAAUCAUAUGCUCAACAGGUUGAAGAAUGACCUUGUGCACCAUUGUCGGUUGAUACUUUUCAUGGACAACAAGGGUACUUCUGGGGUUCCGAAACCAUCCCCGAUCACAACAUUAGAUGCUCCAACAGGCUGAAGCUAAAUGCUCUUCUUGCAAGAAUCAUAUGCUCAACAGGUUGAAGAAUGACCUUGUGCACCAUUGUCGGUUGAUACUUUUCAUGGACAACAAGAAACCAUCCCCGAUCACAACAUUAGAUGCUCAACAGGCUGAAGCUAAAUGCUCUUCUUGCAAGAAUCAUAUGCACUAGAGAGAUGGUACUAAUCCAAAACAUUGGAGAUUGAAGCUGUUAUCCGUCGAUGGUUCUCAGUCUGGUGCCAAGUGGACUACCAAUCUUGUAAUAGUUGAUUGUAAAUUUUAUUCAAGUCUUUUCCAGUUAUAUUCUUAUAAGUUUGUUGAUAGGUCUUGUAACCUUAUGGUCCUUGACGAAUGGUCCUCCUCCUGGCAUUUUGCUCAUGUUAAAGGAGCAUGAGGCCUGUCAUGUAAAUCUUUACUACACUUUAUUAUUCAAAUAAUAAUAAUAUGCUUCCAU